UUUUGUACAUGAUUGUGCAUGAUGCAUGGUCUUGCAGUUGCUUAAGCUUCCUUCUAGCAGUACUACAUGGGUGCCUCUAGUUUUUUGUGUAUUACAUCUUGUUGCAGGAUAGUUACUGGCUUGCAGGUGCUAGAAGUGUCUUUGACCGUUGCUAGAAGUUUGUUUUGCUUUCUACCAGAGGAAACAUCUAGAAGAUCAAGGAGAUUGUUGCUAGUUUUUUUUUUGUUUUUUUGGUUUCGAUAUCUGUAUGGUCUACAUAAAACUUUAGAUGAUCCAUUAGUGUUUUGUGUGUCAUUACUCGUUAGACAUUAGUUUGGUUUUGAAUUUAGAUUGUGGUAGAU